rnacentral:lncRNA from 1 species
AAAGAAGCCUGUGAAGGUAAAAGCGCAUGUGAGUGUGGGGGAUGGAAUGGUUAGGCAGCCCAUGUAAUACAUGUAGUACUGAAUGGAAGAGAUAGAACCUCUCCCACUUUGCCACCAAAAGCCAAUGCCAUGUCUCUUUGCAUCACAUGGGUGUCCCAGAGAGGGACUCCUGCUCUUCUGGAGUUGGAUCUCUUUCCAAUAUCAAGUAAACAUGAAGGUGUAGUAAACUCCCUUCUGGCUGCCUAUUGGUACCAGCCUCUUUUUAUAAGCCAAUCCAUGCUCUAACGAAUGGGCCCUGCCAUGUCCCCCAACACACCUUAAUUGUCCUUCUCUCUGACAUGGAGUAAGUUCUCCCUUUAGACAUGGUGCCACUCCUCCCCACCCUACAAUAACGCAACCACGUCCAAGGCACCACAAACACCCUCACUACGGUGAACCUGUCCUAAUUAUAGCCCGUGGGCCUUCCAAUCCGGCCCACCGAGCAGUGGGGGGGGGGGCGCGGGCGGGCCAUGAGCCACCGCCACUUCAUCCCAUCACGUGAAUAAAUUCAGGUCCUCCACAUGGCUCGGUGGUUUGUGGCCGAC